rnacentral:lncRNA from 1 species
UGUGUGUGCAUUUUCCCUUUGAGUUCUGUGCGGUUGCUGUCAUCGCACCUUGCCCGAUGUCUGGUAGGCCUCUAGUUCAUUUAUCAUUAGGCAACUUACACACGCAUGGGUUAGUGAUGACAUCCGAUCGAUAGUGCGCUCUCUUAACUCACCUAUGGGCGAGCAGGGGUGCCAGACCGAAGUGCUAUUGAAGAUGAUCUUUGAGGUCGA